GCUUUACAAAUGUCUCAUUUAACAAUAGAAAUAUUGGGCUCAAUUGUGGUCAUAAGUUGAGGACUAUCUGUACUUGGAGCAGAAUUUCACAGAAACAGAUUGCAAAUGAUCAGGAGCCACAUUUCAGGAAGUGGGAUAAAUAAAUUUGAUAUUUAUUUUGUUAUGUUACUUCCAACGGCCUAAGAGAAAUGAUGUCAUUGUUUAAAUUACAGAAGGACUUGAGGUAUAGCUUCUUCAAAUUUCCUGUCCCAUACUCUGAUAUAAUUUCUGCUAAACAUCUAUGGAGAUUAUCAGUCAUCCAGUUCAUUGUUGUCCCAAAGGUGUUUUUCAGAAGUUAACUGGACUUUCUUUGUUACCAACAAAGUACAGAUGCCUUUUGAACAACAGCUUUGGGACAAUUUCAAAACAGCUCUUGAAAAAGCACCUUGAGUACUGUAAGAAAUUGUUUAUUUAAUCAUAAGAAGCUUUUCCCUAACAUAAUUGAAAUGCAUGCUUUUUCUUUUUCAUUUUCUUAACUUUUUCUUUACUUUCUGCUUUCGACAAUAAAAAUACUACUUAAUCUGUAUCAGACCGGCAUAGGACAGAUUUAAAUCUGCUUAUAGUUAAAUGCUCAUAGUCUUUUUUCCUGUAUUGGGACAUAAUGUGUAGAACAAUCAAUUUGCAUGAUAAAACAUAAUCUGUACUUUUUCAAAGAGUUUGUAUUUUUCCAACGCUUUACAAGAUAUACAUCAGUGACAAAAAUAUAUAUUUUGACAUAAUAGUUCUAAAUCCCAUUUGUUGAUUAUAUAUGGCCAGCACACCUGUUUGUCCCGUAUUUUUUUUUUUUAAGGUGGGGGGUAAACCUAAACAGUUUCUGUUUUCUAUGCAGAAAACAUCAGUUCCUUGAGAGCAGCUUAUUUGAACAGUCACAAAGUCUUUUUCUAGUAUAGCUACUUAAAUCCCAGUGCUACUGUUUUAGAAAAUAUAAUUACUAAAUUGACAAAUUGUCUUCUCCAUAAUAAUUGUCAAAUAGUUUGACUCCAUUAACAAAAAGUUGCCUGUUGUGAACCCAGUUUGUCACUUCUGUCUCAAAAUCCUACUUUGACAACAAAGCAAAAAUAACUUGUUUUUUAAAUAUUCAAAAUAUAGUGCAAAAUAAAUCCUCAAGAAAACUAUAUAAAAUGUAGGAUAUCAGCUAUGAAAAGGUCUUAAUUUUCUUCUUGGAUUGAUUUCUCUCUGCGUUGUGAGUUUUGCUUACAAGCUUUCAUGGAUUAUUUUAGACACUUCUCUGGCAAUCUCUGUAAAUAUUUGGAAGAAAUUAAAACUGAGAUGCAAUGGAAAAUAUGCUUUAAAAAAUAACUUACCUCACAUGGGCUUUAAUCCUAACCCUAACAUUUAAAGAAAAAAAUAAAUUGGGAAAUGGUAUCCUCUUCUUUCAUGACUUUUUAGCAAAACAGGAUUAGCAUCUUUUAGUAAGUGACAUGAUAAUUUUGCCUUCAUGUCAUUUGUGUCAUUGCUCCUAACUGGUAUGGUAUAAAAGUAAAUAAAACAAGUUUAAUUUUACCUGAAGUCUGAUUGGAUAUUUUUGACAUUCUCAAUAAAAUAUUUUUCAGGAAAUUA